GUGGCAGACGGGUGAGUAAUGCGUAGGAAUCUACCUAGUAGUAUGGAAUAGCCAUUAGAAAUGAUGGGUAAUACUGUAUAAUCCCUGCGGGGGAAAGAUUUAUCGCUAUUAGAUGAGCCUACGUUAGAUUAGCUAGUUGGUAAGGUAAUGGCUUACCAAGGCUAUGAUCUAUAGCUGGUCUGAGAGGACGAUCAGCCACACUGGAACUGAGAUACGGUCCAGACUCCUACGGGAGGCAGCAGUGGGGAAUAUUGGACAAUGGGCGAAAGCCUGAUCCAGCUAUGCCGCGUGAGUGAAGAAGGCCUUCGGGUUGU
rnacentral:rRNA from 1 species